UUCGCAAUGCCCGAAAGGCUGACGCAGCGACGCCGCGUGGAGGAUGACGCCCUUCGGGGUGUAAACUCCUGUUGCCCGGGACGAAUGCCCCUUUUGAGGGGAGUGACGGUACCGGGUGAGGAAGCACCGGCUAACUCUGUGCCAGCAGCCGCGGUAAUACAGAGGGUGCGAGCGUUGUCCGGAAUCACUGGGCGUAAAGGGCGCGUAGGCGGCUCGGUAAGCGUGUGGUGAAAGCCCGGGGCUCAACCCCGGGUCGGCCAUGCGAACUGUCGAGCUGGAGCACGGUAGAGGCACAUGGAAUUCCGGGUGUAGCGGUGGAAUGCGUAGAGAUCCGGAAGAACACCGGUAGCGAAGGCGGUCUCCUGGUCCGUAACUGACACUGAUGCGCGAAAGCGUGGGGAGCAAACAGGAUUAGAUACCCUGGUAGUCCACGCCUUAAACGAUGGGCACUA
rnacentral:rRNA from 1 species